UGGCUUUGAUAUAAAGUACUUAGCCAGCUCUAUAAUUUAGUGACUUCCCUUGGCUAAGUACAACUUACCCCUCUUCUUUUUCUUUACUUUCUCUCACCAGCUAUUCCAGAAGGUGCCUGGACCCAUCUUACAUGUCCUGUGAUGCUACCAGCUGCAUUUCAAAAAGCCAGGGAAAGCAGGGACAUAACUAACCUCCUCCAGGCUUCCCUGCUGGUCUCCUGCAGCAAGGUGGGACAGAGCAGCUGCUGCCAAGCAGGUGAGGUAUCAGCCAUACAGAGAAGAGGACAGAGUGGCUGCUUUGGUUUACCCACCUACGGCAGAGGGAGAGCUGGCAGGGCUGCCCUCAGGGCUCCGGCACUUGCUGGUAUCAUCACAGCCCUGCAGAGGCAAGAGCACAGCCCUCUCUUGCCCUCCUGUCUUUCUCCACAUCGCUUUCACCAGGAGCCAUCUCCCCCUGCCUGGUAUCAUGCUGGCAGCAGGGGAGCCAUGCCAGCCCACUAGUCCUGGCCUGGCCUUUGCUCUGAGCGUCAGGCAGCCAGAACAGGAUGAGAAUCUCACCCUCUUCUCCCCCAGGGUUUGUCUCAUCAUGAAAUACAAGGGAAGAAGCUUAUGAAGCUUCUGAAAAAAAAACCCUCCCUCUCUUGUCUUUAACUUCCCACUGUUUUAAUCCUAGACCAUCUGCAGGAGAAAUAUGUUUAGAUAUAGCUUGUGCAUCAGCGCAGGUGAAUUUUUCUGUGCCUUGAAAAAUGGGACAAUACCUUCCUACAGAUAUUGAUUGUCAUUCCACAUCUAUGCUGUCCUCCUAACUUCAGAUCAAUUUGUGCUUUACCAAGUGGUUUGAUGUCAUCUUAUGGCAGAACGCUAACUUUUUCCCUUUAAGGCUAUUUAUCUCUGUCCCUUUGUAAGGUCAGGGAAAAUCACUGUACUCUGGCCCCCCAAAAGUAAUUCAUCUAGUGGAGGAAAUGAUGAGGCAGUAUUAUGUCUGGCAGCCUUUUUAAACAAGUCCUCAGAAACAUCAAGAAAAACCUGAUAGGCUUGGGCAGGGAGGGGGGAAUUGAGGAAGUUACAGGAGCAAGUCUGAAAGCAAUCAAGGGAAAGCUCAGAGUUUAUAUUCUGGAAAUGUUCCCUCUUCCUGAAUAUAUUUGCAGACAUCUUUCACUGUUACUGAGGGGGGAAAAAUUAAUAAUAAUCCAAGCAGGCUCCCGAGCGAAGGGUGGCCAUGAGUCUGAAUUGGAAGGAUAAUUUAUCUCCCCCGCCACUUUGAAGCCUUUUAGCCUGGGGGGGAUCCCUUGUCUAAUGAAAUUAAUUGAGUGCGUCUGCAGCCUGGGUACUCCAUCUGAAUUCCAGUUUCCCCCUCGCUUCGAAGUUGCCAGGUAUCUGCUCACCUCCAAAGUGACCUAAGUAAAUGCACCGUGUGUCAGUGCUGCUCCUUCUCAUGCAAAUCACAGCCCAGGUAGUGAGUGGUUCCUGGCUCUGCCGCUGCCUGGCCACGCUCUCCCUAAGCUCCAUGCACAGAAGGCAGCCAAAUGUUAGAAAAAGUUAGAGAAUAAAUUCUGUCCCAGGCUAUUUUUAAAUGCA
ensembl:lncRNA